rnacentral:rRNA from 1 species
CCUUACUGCUCAGUAACACGUGGAUAACCUGCCCUUGGGUCUGGCAUAACCCCGGGAAACUGGGGAUAAUUCCGGAUAACGCAUAUAUGCUGGAAUGCUUUAUGCGUCAAAUGGAUUCGUCUGCCCAAGGAUGGAUCUGCGGCCUAUCAGGUAGUAGUGGGUGUAAUGUACCUACUAGCCAACAACGGGUACGGGUUGUGAGAGCAAGAGCCCGGAGAUGGAUUCUGAGACAUGAAUCCAGGCCCUACGGGGCGCAGCAGGCGCGAAAACUUUACAAUGCGGGAAACCGUGAUAAGGGGACACCGAGUGCUAGCAUCAUAUGCUGGCUGUCCAGGUGUGUAAACUACACCUGUUAGCAAGGGCCGGGCAAGACCGGUGCCAGCCGCCGCGGUAACACCGGCGGCCCGAGUGGUGAUCGUGAUUAUUGGGUCUAAAGGGUCCGUAGCCGGUUUGGUCAGUCUUCCGGGAAAUCUGAUAGCUUAACUAUUAGGCUUCCGGGGGAUACUGCCAGGCUUGGAACCGGGAGAGGUAAGAGGUACUACAGGGGUAGGAGUGAAAUCUUGUAAUCCCUGUGGGACCACCUGUGGCGAAGGCGUCUUACCAGAACGGGUUCGACGGUGAGGGACGAAAGCUGGGGGCACGAACCGGAUUAGAUACCCGGGUAGUCCCAGCCGUAAACGAUGCUCGCUAGGUGUCAGGCAUGGCGCGACCGUGUCUGGUGCCGCAGGGAAGCCGUGAAGCGAGCCACCUGGGAAGUACGGCCGCAAGGCUGAAACUUAAAGGAAUUGGCGGGGGAGCAC